rnacentral:rRNA from 1 species
UGACCUCAGAUCAGGUAG